UAGUGACAGAAACCAAAGUCGCUAAAGUGGUUGGUCAAUCGCAGCUCUCCGUUCGUGCGUCGUUCCGUGUACCAGCUGGGAGAUACCGAUUUGUAUGAGGUAGCACAUUCGUCUGCCUUGGCUGUCGGAAACAGCCCGGUUUAACGAUCGGGUUGUCAAAAUUUAUUCGAAUAGGGACUCCGCGUCCUUGGCAUGCCAAAUGACGAUUGCAUAUCAGGUGCGCGUUGGUCGCCUUGUAGUAACCGAUUAUCUCUGCUUGGAUCCUUGAAAUGCUAAAAGCACCUUCAAGAAUUAGCCCAUGGAUGACGAUCCCGCUAUGUCGACGACGUCUAACGACUUUGACCUAAGCGACGCACUUGCCAAGAGCCAUUUCUACACUGGCCUCAUAUUGGCAGUCAGCUCGAGUGCCUUUAUUGGCACCAGCUUCAUUGUAAAAAAGAAAGGUCUCCUACGCAUCAACAGCAAGGGCCAGACAAGAGCAGGAGCUGGGGGCUAUGGUUACCUCAAGGAAUGGGUGUGGUGGGCCGGGCUCAUCCUCAUGGCUGUCGGAGAAGCUGCUAACUUUGCAGCUUAUGCUUUUGCACCGGCAUCGCUUGUCACCCCACUAGGUGCCCUCAGUGUCUUAGUCAGUGCCAUCCUGUCUUCCAAGUUCCUCAACGAACGGCUGAACCUCAUUGGGAAAGUUGCGUGCCUUCUGUGUGUGCUUGGCUCCACGGUGAUCGUACUGCACAGCCCCAAAGAGGGCAAUGUUGAAAGCAUGGAAAUGCUCGGCACCAUGAUUGUCGAACCUGCAUUCAUAGUGUAUGUGAUCUUUGUGGUGACGGCGGCCAGCAUCCUGAUGGUGAUCUACGCGCCAAAGUACGGCACCUCCAACGUGGUGAUCUACGUGGCCAUCUGCUCGGUCAUCGGCUCCCUCUCUGUCAUGGGUUGCAAAGGCCUGGGCCUGGCGCUGCGCGAGACCUUUGCCGGCCGCAACGAAUUCACCUCCUGGGUCACCUGGGUCUGCCUCGUCGGCGUCAUCAUCUGCAUCUCGGUCCAGAUGAACUAUCUCAACAAGGCACUGGACGUCUUCAAUACCUCCGUUGUCACUCCCAUCUACUAUGUAUUCUUUACGACGUUUGUGCUAAUUGCGUCGGCCAUCUUGUUCAAGGAAUGGGGAAACAUGAGCGGCGAAGAUGUGCUUGGCAGCCUCACAGGCUUCAUGACAGUGGUGUGCGCCAUAUUCCUGCUAAACGCCUUCAAGGACUGGGAUGUGUCCCUCUCCAGCCUCCAGGGUCUGCUCCAAAGCACGCGCGAACAGCAGCAGCAGCGCGGCAUUAUUGACGGCACUCUGCCAGACUUGACCACCGCCCUGCUAGACUCCCCGCCGGCCUCUUCGCAUCGGUCAUCAGUCCUAGUCUCUAGUGGGUACCAGCGCAUGAGCUCCAAAGAUGAUCCACUCGCUAUCACUAGCAUACACUGACAUCGGCCCCUCUUAGGCCUGAGCGAUGAGUGUAUUCUUCAACUCGCAUUUUGCGAAGCACAGAAGAAAGUAGGCCCAAAACAGACCCCUCUGAGAGAGAUGGCUCGCAGGCACAUUUGAGCAAUACUGUGGUUAUCCAUCGGGGCAGGAGUGUCUUUAGUGAGAGCGUGGUCGGCUUAUCAGGAACUGUUAAGCCUUUUUAUGUCCAAGGCAGUGAUAGGGAGCGUUCCAGUGAGAGCAUUCAGCCCUUGUGUGUAGUGAGUGCAGAGUACCAAGAUGAUUAGAGGGAAAGUGUGAAAGCAUGGCCAGCUAUACCAGCAGUGCUGUCUUGUGAACCACCACCAUGAUCAGCAAGUUUGCAGCAUAUACAGCAGUAUAAUGCUUGUAUGCUUACCUCAGGUUAAAGAUAUGCCAGCUGCUCUUAUCAGUUUUGUCAGAGCAGUUGAUGCCAAGGUUAAAAAGAUGUUCAGACAUGGAUAUUGCAGGUAACCAUAGCAUUGCUGCUGUUCAGCUUGCAUGGUUAGCCACACAAUCAUUAGCGAGCCUCCGAGGCAAUUUUGUAUGCUUGUUUUUUAACUGGUGAACGUUGAGGAGGUAGUGAUCUGCACUUUAUGAGUGAUUAUCCAUUUCUUAGUCGCACAAACUGCUGUUAUGACAAAACUGACAAAUACAGUGCAUGUUUCCUCUUUAGCUGGAUGAAAGUGUACAUAGCUUAGAGCCACUGUCUGAUUCAUGUUGUGUGUGCAUCCUGUCUCACUGAUGACAAUGGUGGUUAUCCCUAGGUGGCACUGCCGGUACGCAUUCUCACAUUCUCUUUAAUAUCUUGGAAUCCUGUGCCACAUACCAGUGCCAAAAAUGAUGGUCGCUGUUGCUAGCAUACACUGACACCGCUUCACUUGCACUGACUGCUUCACCUACAUUGACAACACUUGCACUUUCCAUAACUUGCACUUUGCAAGGCAUAGAAGUGAUUGAGCCCAAAACAAUUGUCUCCGAAAGGGAUUCCUCACAAUGGCUGUAAGUACACUUGAGCAGCAAUGUAGUGAUAUUUUAAUGGAAUAUGUAUUAUCCAGCAACAGCUCAGUGAUCUUGCAGGAAUGUGUUGCAAGAAUACUAAAAUUGAUAAUGAUAGACUAUAUUUUUGAAGUUUCAGGUUAAACCAGUUUUACUGUGAGCAGAAGCUCGGUGAACCAAGAAAGCAAACAUGUAAAACAAAUGCAAAUAGUGUUUUGUGCAACCUGUCGAUUUAAACUUGUUUAGAGUUUCUCUUUAGUGUGCUUUUAAGCCCUGUUAUAUGCAGUGUAGUUGUAAGGGCUCUGCCGGUGCUGAUUUGUACAGUCUUGCAACUUUGAAGUGGAAGCAGGAGCAUCCUCAGCAUUACCUGACUGAUUGUGAGGCAAGCGACAGCUUUAGUGCUUUCCGGAAAGUCUUGCUCGUCAUCGAGGAGCCAAGGAUUUCGCCAUGUUUUUAAAGAUAUCUUGUCUGUCUUUAUCUUCUUUCACAAGCUAGCCCAAGUUGUCCGUAUGAAGAGCCAGCACUCCAUUGCUGAAUGCAAACUGAACAGAGACGUUAUCAACCAUUGGGAA
rnacentral:misc_RNA from 1 species